CGAUUCCACAUACAACCGCUAGGGGGCGUGUGUUGCAUUGGUGGCAUAGAGAAGGUUGGGCACACGGAAGAAUAAACUUUCCUGAUGGACGCUAAAGGAGCUCAAUGUGUAUGCCUCAUCUUUUCUAUAUCACAGUGAGUUGAGCAGGAAAAAUGGAGAAAGGGAAAAAAGUGUCAACAAGAUUUUUGGUUCCCAUCAAACAGAAGUCCUGCUUCUGCGCUGCUCCCUGAAUGCAAACCCAAAUAACACUUCCGACCCCAACGAGAAUGAAAACAAAAGUGGGGGAGUUAGUCGUAGGGUGGAUCCCCGAUGGCCGUCUCAGGAAACAGCCACCGCCACUCCCUCAUAACUAUCUGCUGUGUGGAUUUACCAAAAAGGAGGGGCAAUUUCACUGACAGAUGGGGUAUGGUGGCCCGCAUUAAAAGACCCCCGUCUGACUGAGGACUCACAUCCUCCUGCAGUGCCUGCCAGUGACCUGGGGUGACCCUUGGCCACCCCUGCUCUCCACAGGAUCCAUGAGAACGAGCAUGGCCUCCAUGAGUCCCGCUGUCUACACCAACCGAGGGAAAUACUUCGGAGCAGAGCUCGGUCUUUGCAAGCUUAAGAGGAGACGGUGAGGCCCUUUGUUUAAAUUACUCUCAGACCUGGGGACCGUUUUGCUCCUAAGCUCCUACGUUAAAAAGACAAAGAUAACAUACAGAGGCUGGCGUCCUGCUUCCUGCUCCGCAUCCUGUCUAUUUUAUGAGACUGAAGUGUCUGCCUUCAUCUAUAUAGACUCAGUGAAAUAAUAAACAUUGUAUGAAUUCUG